UCUGUUUGUCCCCCUUUGUCAUGGACAUACCUGCUGUGUCCCUUGGCUCUUGAAACACACAAGUUUAAGGAGAAAACCGAGACUGUCAAGGCAAUGAUGUUCACAGGGCCCCCCAUUUCCAAGGCUGGCUCUGGUCCUGCCCAUUUUGUGGAUGAGAAAAGUGAGUCUGGAGGAUUCACAUGCUGCUGGCAUCGCCACUUCCAACCUAGGCCCCUAUCUCCUCUCCUCUCCUGUCCACACACCUCUCCUGGACACUCAUUUGUCUCCACAGAAGAGUCCAGGACUAUCUGAAGGACCCCUGUGGAUCUGUUAAUACAUGUACAAAGGGGAGGUUUAUGGCCCUGGGCAAAGAUGGGCCCCACCGCCUCUACCCACGUGCAGCCUGCUGAGCUGGGCUCAGUUCAGAGCCUCCACACCUCCCCCACUGGGCUCACUACCCAGCCACAUCCCCUUCAAUAUUUGAGACUUGGAGCAGGCAGAAAAAAAAAAGUCAAACUACAGACUCCCAAGUGCUGAAGAUUCUCAGCUUGCAUUCUCUCCUCUCUCUGUCUCUUUGUCUCUUUCUGUCUCUCUGUCUCUGUCUCUCUUUCCUUUCUUUCUUUUUUUUCAGCCACUAAGGAGACUAAUAAAUGGCCGGCCACCUGACGUGAUCAUUAAGGGCUCCAGUGAACUGUGGUGGGAAGACCCGCCCACUGUGGGUGGCUGACAUUCCCUGACUGGGGACGUGGACUGUAGAAAUGAAGAGAGGGAAUUGAGCACCAACAUUCUUCUCUCUCUGUUCCGGAGCGUGGAUAUCAUGUGACCAGCCGCCUCCUGUUCCAGCCACCAUGCCUUCCUUGCUAUCCCUCUGGAACUGGAAUUGCUCCUCAGUCCUUCGACUGGGGCUGGGGGAGGAAGAGAGAGCAGGCCAGGGAGAGCCAAGCAAAAGAAGGCGCACCCCCAGGACAAAGGAGGCAGCCGCCAUCUGGGCCGCAGGAAGGGGAGAAACGCUACUGUCUGGACUUGGACACCCGGGAAACUGGUGACAGAGGGACAGAGCCCGGCAGGCUGCAGCGGGAUCUCAGAAGUGUCAGCACUGGCUGCAGGCCCAGCCUCGUCAUGCACUUGGCUCUGGAAUCUCUGCAGGUGACAGAGACGUGUGCCUCUGUUUCCCCCUCAGGGACACGACUAUUUCUCAGCAGCAUCCUGAGCUUGCAGAGGAGUUCAGGGGUAGGGAUGCUGCAGGCUCAUGGGUGGCCCUGGCCCCCUGCUCCCUUCUUGUGUCUGUUGGGGCCCCUUCCGUGGUGACACACCUGUCAAACAUGAGCAGGAGGCCUGCCUGCCACGGCCUCCUCUGUGAGGUCAGCUUGCGUCCAUCUCGCCUGUCUCUGGGCCUCAGUUUCCCCCAGGUGGGAGACUCUGCCCCAGGAACUGGUUCUUUUUUGUUCAUGUCUGCUUUUACUGCCCAACCCUGCUCCCUUACGGCUACACCCACUUUACAGAUGAAGAUGUGGAGGCCCAUGCUUUGCUAUCCUCGACUCCCCUGGGGGGAUGUGAGCCACACCUCUGCUUACCCAGGAGCCCCUGGGCCUCCAGCACAGUUUCAGCAGGCCACAUUUUGCUCAGCAGAUCCCUGGUUUAAUCUGGCAGGACUGGGGUUCUGUGAGCAAGACAUUGAGGUGACUUGAUGUGGGGAGAACAUGCAUGUUGGAACCUGCACCCUGUUUCAGACCCUGUGACUCCCUUUAGUCUCUGGUUAUGACCCAUUCAGAAUUCUGUCUUGACUCUUCACUACACACCAAAGUUCUUUCCUCCUUUAGGUUUCUGGAUAACAGUGUGGUGCAAGAAGUGUGUGUGUUUGUGUGUGUGUGUACACACAUG